GAAAUGCGAUAAGUAAUGUGAAUUGCAGAAUUCAGUGAAUCAUCGAAUCUUUGAACGCACCUUGCGCUCUUUGGUAUUCCGAAGAGCAUGCCUGUUUGAGUGUCAUUAAAUUCUCAACCUCACCAGUUUUCUGAUGAGGCUUGGAUGUGGGGGUUUGUGCAGGCUGCCUCAGCGCGGUCUGCUCCCCUAAAAUGCAUUAGCGAGUUCAUACUGAGCUCCGUCUAUUGGUGUGAUAAUUAUCUACGCCGUGGAUUGGGCUUAGACUUGCUUCUAACCGUCCGCAAGGACAACUCUAUGACAAUUUGACCUCAAAUCAGGUAGGACUACCCGCUGAACUUAA
rnacentral:misc_RNA from 1 species